UACGUAGGGGGCAAGCGUUGUCCGGAUUUAUUGGGCGUAAAGCGCUCGCAGGUGGUUCGAUGCGUCGUGCGUGAAAGCCCCCGGCUCAACUGGGGAGUGUCGUGCGAUACGGUCGGACUGGAGGCCAGUAGGGGGAUGCGGAAUUCCGGGUGUAGUGGUGGAAUGCGUAGAGAUCCGGAGGAACACCAGCGGCGAAGGCGGCCUACUGGGUCAGUACUGACGCUGAGCCGCGAAAGCCAGGGGAGCGAACGGG
rnacentral:rRNA from 1 species